rnacentral:rRNA from 1 species
CCUGUGAGGGGCCGUGGAGGUAUCGGAAGUGCGAAUGAUGACAUGAGUAGCGACAAAAAGUGUGAAGACACUUUCGCCGAAAGUCCAAGGGUUCCUGCGCAAUGCUAAUCAGCGCAGGGUUAGUCGGCCCCUAAGGUGAGGCAGAAAUGCGUAGCCGAUGGGAAUCACGUUAAUAUUCGUGAACCAGAUGGUAGUGACGGAUCGCGCAGGUUCGUAUCCCCUUAUUGGAUUGGGGGUGCGAUGAGCCGGUUCCUGGAAAUAGCUCCAUCGAUAUUGACCGUACCCUAAACCGACACAGGUGGACUGGUAGAGUAUACCAAGGCGCUUGAGAGAACUAUACUGAAGGAACUCGGCAAAUUGCAUGCGUAACUUCGGGAUAAGCAUGACUUCUAUCGGGGCAACCCUUUAGGAGUGGCACAAAAGAGGGGGUGGCGACUGUUUACUAAAAACACAGGGCUCUGCGAAGAUGUAAAUCGACGUAUAGGGUCUGACGCCUGCCCGGUGCCGGAAGGUUAAAUGGAGAGGUGCAAGCUUUGAAAUGAAGCCCCGGUAAACGGCGGCCGUAACCAUAACGGUCCUAAGGUAGCGAAAUUCCUUGUCGGGUAAGUUCCGACCUGCACGAAUGGCGUAACGACUUCCCCACUGUCUCCAGUAUAGACUCAGCGAAAUUGAAUUCCCCGUGAAGAUGCGGGGUUCCUGCGGUCAGACGGAAAGACCCCAUGCACCUUUACUAUAGCUUUACGCUGGCAUUUGUGUCGGCAUGUGCAGGAUAGGUGGUAGGCUUUGAAGCAGGGACGCUAGUUCUUGUGGAGCCGCAAGAUGAGAUGCCACCCUUAUCGUCAUAGAUGUCUAACCGCGGCAUAACAGUGUCCGGGACAGCGUAUGGUGGGUAGUUUGACUGGGGCGGUCGCCUCCCAAAGAGUAACGGAGGCGCGCGAUGGUGGGCUCAGACCGGUCGGAAAUCGGUCGCUGAGUGCAAUGGCAUAAGCCUGCCUGACUGCGAGACUGACAAGUCGAGCAGAGACGAAAGUCGGUCAUAGUGAUCCGGUGGUCCCGCGUGGAAGGGCCAUCGCUCAACGAAUAAAAGGUACGCUGGGGAUAACAGGCUGAUGAUGCCCAAGAGUCCAUAUCGACGGCAUCGUUUGGCACCUCGAUGUCGGCUCAUCACAUCCUGGGGCUGGAGCAGGUCCCAAGGGUAUGGCUGUUCGCCAUUUAAAGUGGUACGUGAGCUGGGUUUAGAACGUCGUGAGACAGUUCGGUCCCUAUCUGCCGUGGGUGUAGGAAUAUUGAGAAUCUGACCCUAGUACGAGAGGACCGGGUUGGACGAACCUCUGGUGGACCUGUUGUGGCGCCAGCCGCAUUGCAGGGUAGCUAAGUUCGGACGGGAUAACUGCUGAAAGCAUCUAAGCAGGAAGCCUCCUUCAAAACUAGUAUUCCCUUGAGAGCCGUGGAAGACCACCACGUCGAUAGGCCGGGUGUGGAAGCGUAGCAAUAUGUGAAGCUUACCGGUACUAAUAGCUCGAUUGC